CGGCGGACGGGUGAGUAACACGUGGAUAACCUACCUAUAAGACUGGGAUAACUUCGGGAAACCGGAGCUAAUACCGGAUAAUAUUUUGAACCGCAUGGUUCAAAAGUGAAAGACGGUCUUGCUGUCACUUAUAGAUGGAUCCGCGCUGCAUUAGCUAGUUGGUAAGGUAACGGCUUACCAAGGCAACGAUGCAUAGCCGACCUGAGAGGGUGAUCGGCCACACUGGAACUGAGACACGGUCCAG
rnacentral:rRNA from 1 species